rnacentral:rRNA from 1 species
UGCAACCCGACUCCGUGAAGCUGGAUUCGCUAGUAAUCGCGCAUCAGCCAUGGCGCGGUGAAUACGUUCCCGGGCCUUGUACACACCGCCCGUCAAGCCAUGGGAGCCGGGGGCGCCUGAAGUCCGGGACCGCGAGGACCGGCCUAGGGCGAAACUGGUAACUGGGGCUAAGUCGUAACAAGGUAGC